GACGAACGCUGGCGGCGUGCUUAACACAUGCAAGUCGAACGGUGAGGCCCUUCGGGGUACACGAGUGGCGAACGGGUGAGUAACACGUGGGUGAUCUGCCCUGCACUUCGGGAUAAGCCUGGGAAACUGGGUCUAAUACCGGAUAGGACCACUGCCUGCAUGGGUGGGGGUGGAAAGCUUUUGCGGUGUGGGAUGGGCCCGUGGCCUAUCAGCUUGUUGGUGGGGUGAUGGCCUACCAAGGCGACGACGGGUAGCCGGCCUGAGAGGGUGACCGGCCACACUGGGACUGAGAUACGGCCCAGACUCCUACGGGAGGCAGCAGUGGGGAAUAUUGCACAAUGGGCGCAAGCCUGAUGCAGCGACGCCGCGUGAGGGAUGACGGCCCUCGGGUUGUAAACCUCUUUCAGCACCGACGAAGCGCAAGUGACGGUAGGUGCAGAAGAAGGACCGGCCAACUACGUGCCAGCCGCCGCGGUAA
rnacentral:rRNA from 1 species